rnacentral:snRNA from 1 species
GGAUGUGAGGGUGAUCUGGUUGCAGCACCUGUCCCCCCACUGACCGCCAGGGCUGACUGGGCGUCGGGUGUUUUCUUCCUCACCGCUCUAGGCAGGGCCGCCUUCCCCGAACACAGACCACCAGUCUCGGGUCAAGGGUAUACGAGGGGUAGCUGUGCUCCCCUGCUAGAACCUCCAAACACGCACUCAAGAAGAAAAAGAAAAAACCCUAGAAUUACAUUCUAUUUAUUUAUUUAAUUUUGGAUUCAGAGAGAAAUU